GCUGGAGUGCAAUGGCACCGUCUCAGCUCACUGCAACCUCCACCUCCCAGGUUCAAGCGAUUCUCCUGCCUCAGCCUCCCAAGUAGCUGGGACUACAGAAAAGUGAAGACAACUGGAAAAGCAUUGCAGUGACCUAAGGCAAAACAAACAAUCUAAUAUAUAUGUCAUUGGAGUCCCAGAUAAACAAUGGAAAACUGGGAAAGAAAAUAAAAUGUGAAGAAAUUAGGGUUGAUAAUCAGCAAAUUUGGAGAAAUACAACUUACAGAUGCAAGAAGGUCAGCAAACCUCCAAAGAGAAUAAAUGCAAAGAAAUUUACAGAGCAAAUUCUUGGAAGCAGUCCUUGUUACAAUGUGACAAAUUUCCAAUUCAAAUAAUUUUUUUUUUCUAAAGCAUACUACCUUUAAGAUAUCUUUUUGAUGUACUGGUCGACUGUUUAUGAAGAUGAAACUUCUUUCUGGUGUUGAAAGACUAGUGAAAGAGUGGUCUGCAUCACACUUUGGAAGAAAUCCACUGAGAUAAAUCUAUAUAAUAAUUACAGAAUAUGCAAUGUCAACAAUGUAGUUCCACGGGUCUGGCUAUAUAUAACACUUUGAAAGGUAUAAAAAAAUUAAAAAACAGAUUUUCAUCUUAAGGUCUAAAAAGCCAUAUACUUCCUGAUAAUCAUGUCUUAAGUAUUAACUUUAAAUAAAAUAGUAAAGCAUGCUA